GGGCUAGCUUCAGCAGCACACAUACUAAAAUUGGAAUAAUACAGAGAUUAGUGUGGCCCCUUUGCAAGGAUGGCAUACAAAUUCAUGAAGCAUUCCAUAUACUU
rnacentral:snRNA from 2 species